CCUACGGGGGGCAGCAGUGGGGAAUAUUGCACAAUGGGGGGAACUCUGAUGCAGCGACGCCGCGUGAGUGAAGAAGUAUUUCGGUAUGUAAAGCUCUAUCAGCAGGGAAGAAAGUGACGGUACCUGAAAAAGAAGCCCCGGCUAAAUACGUGCCAGCCGCCGCGGUAAUUCGUAGGGAGCAAGCGUUAUCCGGAUUUACUGGGUGUAAAGGGAGAGUAGGUGGCAGAGCAAGUCCGAAGUGAAAACCCAAAGCUCAACUAUGGGAAUGCUUUGGAAACUGCGAUGCUAGAGUGCAGGAGAGGAAAGUGGAAUUCGUAGUGUAGCGGUGAAAUGCGUAGAUAUUAGGAGGAACACCAGUGGCGAAGGCGGCUUGCUGGACUGUAACUGACACUGAGGCUCGAAAGCGUGGGGAGCAAACAGGAUUAGAUACCCCAGUAGUC
rnacentral:rRNA from 1 species